GAUGAACGCUAGCGACAGGCUUAACACAUGCAAGUCGAGGGGCAGCACGGGAGUAGCAAUACAACUGGUGGCGACCGGCGCACGGGUGAGUAACGCGUAUGCAACCUACCUAUCAGAGGGGAAUAACCCGGCGAAAGUCGGACUAAUACCGCAUAAAACAGGGGCACCGCAUGGUGAUAUUUGUUAAAGAAGUUCGCUGAUAGAUGGGCAUGCGUUCCAUUAGGUAGUUGGUGAGGUAACGGCUCACCAAGCCGACGAUGGAUAGGGGAACUGAGUGGUUGGUCCCCCACACUGGUACUGAGACACGGACCAGACUCCUACGGGAGGCAGCAGUGAGGAAUAUUGGUCAAUGGGCGGGAGCCUGAACCAGCCAAGUCGCGUGAAGGAAGAAGGAUCUAUGGUUCGUAAACUUCUUUUGCAGGGGAAUAAAGUGCAGGACGUGUCCUGUUUUGUAUGUACCCUGAGAAUAAGGAUCGGCUAACUCCGUGCCAGCCGCCGCCGUAAUAC
rnacentral:rRNA from 1 species